CUUUCUGGAACAAGAAGCCGGUCUAGCGAGGAUCAGUGGGCACCUCCUGAUGACUCCUGGGAACAGCACUUUCUCCAAGGAAAACAGGAUUUUAGCACCAGGCUUCCUGGUCUCCUUUCCAAGGUUGGCAGGGGAAACUUCAGUGUUACCCAUUGUUGAAGAUGUUGAUUUUUAGACUGUGCACUCCUGACAUUUUAAGC
rnacentral:lncRNA from 1 species